rnacentral:rRNA from 1 species
CUGCUGCCUUCCGUAGGAGUUUGGGCCGUGUCUCAGUCCCAAUGUGGCCGUCCACCCUCUCAGGCCGGCUACUGAUCGCUGCCUUGGUGGGCCGUUACCCCGCCAACUAGCUAAUCAGACGCGGAUCCAUCGUAUACCACCGGAGUUUUUCACACUGCCCCAUGCGGAGCCGUGCGCUUAUGCGGUAUUAGCACCUAUUUCUAAGUGUUAUCCCCCGGUAUACGGCAGGUUAUCCACGCGUUACUCACCCGUCCGCCA